CGGUUUUUUUUUUUAUUAUUAUUAUUAUAAAAAUAUACCCUUUUGUUCCGUAGCAAUGGUAAACGGUGUAUAACUCUGCGACGAACGCCGCCAAAAUUAUUCGUGCGCAACAAUAACUAAUAAAUUAUAAAUGAAAAUACGCAGUGCUUGUACGCGGAAUAUUUUAAUAUCGGUGCGCAUGGUAAAUCGAUAAACAAAUAAAUAAUCUUUCUUGUACGCAAUAAA